AGCUUGCAAUUCGCAACGCUACUCUGUUUACCAGGUCAGGUCCGGAAGGAAGCAGCCAGAGCAGACGACGUGUGUGCCGGGAUGUAGCUGGCA
rnacentral:SRP_RNA from 1 species